rnacentral:rRNA from 1 species
UCAGCCACACUGGAACUGAGACACGGUCCAGACUCCUACGGGAGGCAGCAGUGGGGAAUUUUGCGCAAUGGGCGAAAGCCUGACGCAGCAACGCCGCGUGAGUGAUGAAGGCUUUCGGGUCGUAAAGCUCCGUCAAGGGGAAAGAAGUGUAUUGUGGUUAAUACCCAUGGUACUUGACGGUACCCCUAAAGGAAGCACCGGCUAACUCCGUGCCAGCAGCCGCGGUAAUACGGGGGGUGCAAGCGUUGUUCGGAAUUAUUGGGCGUAAAGCGCGUGUAGGCGGUUUGUUAAGUCUGAUGUGAAAGCCCUGGGCUCAACCCAGGAAGUGCAUUGGAUACUGGCAGACUUGAAUACGGGAGAGGGUAGUGGAAUUCCUGGUGUAGGAGUGAAAUCCGUAGAUAUCAGGAGGAACACCGGUGGCGAAGGCGGCUGCCUGGACCGAUAUUGACGCUGAGACGCGAAAGCGUGGGUAGCAAACAGGAUUAGAUACCCUGGUAGUCCACGCCGUAAACGAUGAGUACUAGGUGUUGCGGGUAUUGACCCCUGCAG